GUGAGUCAUCGAAUCUUUGAACGCACAUUGCGCCCGCCAGUAUUCUGGCGGGCAUGCCUGUUCGAGCGUCAUUUCAACCCUCAAGCCCCCCUGGGGGCUUGGUGUUGGGGACCGGCCCUGCCCCGUCGCAGGAGCCGCCCCCGAAAUACAUUGGCGGUCUCGCCGCAGCCUCCUCUGCGUAGUAAUUGCACCUCGCACCGGAGCGCGGCUCGGCCACGCCGUUAAACCCCAACUUCUGAAAGGUUGACCUCGGAUCAGGUAGGAAUACCCGCUGAACUUAAGCAUAUCAAUAAGCGGAGGA
rnacentral:misc_RNA from 1 species